rnacentral:rRNA from 1 species
UACAUGGGGUGCAAACGUUGCUCGGAAUUAUUGGGCGUAAAGCGCGCGUAGGCGGUUACUCAAGUCGGAUGUGAAAGCCCUCGGCUUAACUGAGGAAGUGCACCCGAAACUGAGUAGCUAGAGUACUAAAGAGGGUCGCGGAAUUCCCGGUGUAGAGGUGAAAUUCGUAGAUAUCGAGAGGAACACCGGUGGCGAAGGCGGCCUGCUGGACGAUGACUGACACUGAGGAGCGAAAGCCAGGGGAGCAAACGGG